rnacentral:rRNA from 1 species
UACAGAGGUCUCAAGCGUUGUUCGGAUUCAUUGGGCGUAAAGGGUGUGUAGGUGGCGCCGUAAGUCGGGUGUGAAAUUUCGGAGCUUAACUCCGAAACUGCAUUCGAUACUGCCGUGCUUGAGGACUGGAGAGGAGACUGGAAUUUACGGUGUAGCGGUGAAAUGCGUAGAUAUCGUAAGGAACACCAGUGGCGAAAGCGGCUUCCUGGUCCAGCACCGACGUUCAGGCACGAAAGCGUGGGGAGCAAACAGG